rnacentral:rRNA from 1 species
UACGGAGAGAGCAAGCAUUACUCAUCUUAACUGGGUAUAAAGGGCGCGUAGGCGGCUCAUGAAGUCUGUGGUGAAAGUCCGGGGCUCAACCUCGGAUCGGCCGUGGCGACUCGUGGGCUGGAGCACUGUAGAGGCGGGUGGAAUUCCGGGUGUAGCGGUGGAAUGCGUAGAGAUCCGGAAGAACACCAGUGGCGAAGGCGGCUCUCUGGGACGGUACUGACGCUGAGACGCGAAAGCGUGGGGAGCGAACAGG